UGGAAAUCUAAACAAAAGGUCCUUAAAGAUAAAAAUAUAAUUGAUAAAGAAAAUAAUUUCAAGACUAAUAUGAGUGAAAGCAUGCCUGGGCAAAAUAGUAUGAAACAAUUAGUUAGAGAUAGCAGUACAUUAACUUUUCCUUAUCAUACUAUUUGAAGUUAUGUAGGAAAUAAGAUAGUUAAGAAUGUACAGCUUAUACAGUGAUUGAAAAGUCAAUAAUUUCUUUAAUUGCCUAACCUUGAGUUGGGUAAAAAGUUCCUC